rnacentral:rRNA from 1 species
UCCGUAGGUGGAUAAUUAAGUCAGAGGUGAAAUCCUGCAGCUCAACUGUAGAAUUGCCUUUGAUACUGGUUGUCUUGAGUCAUUAUGAAGUGGUUAGAAUGUGUAGUGUAGCGGUGAAAUGCAUAGAUAUUACACAGAAUACCGAUUGCGAAGGCAGAUCACUAAUAAUGUACUGACACUGAUGGACGAAAGCGUGGGGAGCGAACAGGAUUAGAUACCCUGGUAGUCC